ensembl:snRNA U6 U6 spliceosomal RNA
GUGCUCACUUCAGCAGCACUUUUGCUAAAAUUGGAACAAUACAGGGAAGAUUAGCAUGGCCCCUGCGCAAGGAUGACACGCAGAUUUGUGAGGCGCUCCAUAGGAGG